UAGAUUAGAGCCUACCAUUUAAAAUCGUGGGUGAUGCCAGUAACUAGGCUAUAGUUAUAGAUCUUGGACAACGGAUGGGGGAAGAUCCACAUGUCAUCUAUUAUGCUUCUAGGACUUUAUAUAGUGCUCAGCUAAACUACUCCGCCAUGGAAAAAGUAGCUACUAGCCGUUUUGUUUGCGCUUAAAAAAUUUUGUUCCUAUAUAUUA
rnacentral:lncRNA from 1 species